UCUUUGAUGGUCUAAUGGUCAUGAUUUCCGCUUGUCAUCCUUUGUGACAAUGAUCCGCGGGAGAUCGGGGUUCGAUUCCCCGUCAGAGAG
rnacentral:tRNA from 1 species